rnacentral:rRNA from 1 species
GACGAACGCUGGCGGCGUGCUUAACACAUGCAAGUCGAACGGUGAACGAGGGAGCUUGCUCCCUCCGGAUCAGUGGCGAACGGGUGAGUAACACGUGAGCAAUCUGCCCCGAACUCUGGGAUAAGCGUUGGAAACGACGUCUAUACCGGAUACGACGCGGGAGGGCAUCCUCUCCGCGUGGAAAGAACUUCGGUUCGGGAUGAGCUCGCGGCCUAUCAGCUUGUUGGUGAGGUAACGGCUCACCAAGGCGACGACGGGUAGCCGGCCUGAGAGGGUGACCGGCCACACUGGGACUGAGACACGGCCCAGACUCCUACGGGAGGCAGCAGUGGGGAAUAUUGCACAAUGGGCGCAAGCCUGAUGCAGCAACGCCGCGUGAGGGACGACGGCCUUCGGGUUGUAAACCUCUUUUAGCAGGGAAGAAGCGAAAGUGACGGUACCUGCAGAAAAAGCACCGGCUAACUACGUG